rnacentral:tRNA from 1 species
GGGGAUUUAGCUCAGUGGUAGAGCACUUGCCUAGCAAGCGCAAGGUCCUGGGUUCAGUUCCCAGCUCCA